rnacentral:rRNA from 1 species
GACGAACGCUGGCGGCGUGCUUAACACAUGCAAGUCGAACGGAAAGGCCUGCUUUCCCUUGUGGAUUGCGGGUACUCGAGUGGCGAACGGGUGAGUAACACGUGAGUGAUCUGCCCCCAACUUGGGUAUAAGCCUGGGAAACUGGGUCUAAUUCCCGAUAGGACUGCAGGGUGGUGCCUGUGGUGGAAAACGAUUUUCUAGUGGUUGGGGAUGAGCUCGCGGCCUAUCAGCUUGUUGGCGGGGUAAUGGCCUACCAAGGCGGCGACGGGUAGCCGGCCUGAGAGGGUGGACGGCCACAUUGGGACUGGGAUACGGCCCAGACUCCUACGGGAGGCAGCAGUGGGGAAUAUUGCACAAUGGGCGGAAGCCUGAUGCAGCGACGCCGCGUGGGGGAUGACGGCCUUCGGGUUGUAAACUCCUUUCGACCGCGAGGAAGCCACCUGGUUGGAAGGGUGGUGACGGUAGUGGUGGAAGAAGCACCGGCUAACUACGUG